rnacentral:misc_RNA from 1 species
GAUGAAGAACGCAGCGAAAUGCGAUAAGUAAUGUGAAUUGCAGACUUCAGUGAAUCAUCGAAUCUUUGAACGCACAUUGCGCCCGCUAGUAUUCUGGCGGGCAUGCCUGUCCGAGCGUCAUUUCAACCCUCAAGCCCCCGGGCUUGGUGUUGGGGAUCGGCGAGCCUCCGCGCCCGCCGUCCCCUAAAUCUAGUGGCGGUCUCGCUGUAGCUUCCUCUGCGUAGUAGCACACCUCGCACUGGGAAACAGCGCGGCCACGCCGUUAAACCCCCAACUUCUGAACGUUUGACCUCGGAUCAGGUAGGAAUACCCGCUGAACUUAAGCAUAUCAAUAAGCGGAGGA